rnacentral:rRNA from 1 species
UGUGCCUACGGGGGGCAGCAGUGAGGAAUAUUGGUCAAUGGGCGCGAGCCUGAACCAGCCAAGUAGCGUGGAGGAUGACUGCCCUACGGGUUGUAAACUUCUUUUAUAAAGGAAUAAAGUGAGGCACGUGUGCCUUUUUGUAUGUACUUUAUGAAUACGGAUCGGCUAACUCCGUGCCAGCAGCCGCGGUAAUACGGAGGAUCCGAGCGUUAUCCGGAUUUAUUGGGUUUAACGGGAGCGUAGCUGGGUUGUUAAGUCAGUUGUGAAUGUUUGC